UACGGGGGGGGCAAGCGUUGUUCGGAAUUACUGGGCGUAAAGGGCUCGUAGGUGGCCAACUAAGUCAGACGUGAAAUCCCUCGGCUUAACCGGGGAACUGCGUCUGAUACUGGAUGGCUUGAGUUCGGGAGAGGGAUGCGGAAUUCCAGGUGUAGCGGUGAAAUGCGUAGAUAUCAGGAGGAACACCGGUGGCGAAGGCGCUCAUCUGGCCCAAUACUGACGCUGAAGCUCGAAAGCUAGGGGAGCAAACGGG
rnacentral:rRNA from 1 species